GCGAAGGGCGCUGGGAGGGACCGUCGGCAAACGCGCGGCGGUCAGGGCGUCACGGUCCCGCGUGAGAGGCCGAGGCUGUGUUUGCAGCUAGAACUGCUCGGGAAAUUUGACGAAGUGGUGGUUUAAUAAAACCAAAGCAUUUCCUGAAAGUGGUGCCCAGCUCCAGCAAAGGGGGACAUUGAGAAAAGUUUGACAGGGUGGAAAAAAAGAGAAACAUCUUCCCGAGGGGCUGGUAGUUAUGUCCAGGCACCUCACUGGCACAAGAGAGACCCUGUUCAACUCCCAAGUUUGGAAACCUGGAGAGCAGAGCAAGAUCUUCUGGCCAUGUAAAUGCUCUGUCCAUGGGGCUAUUUUUGGAUCUCAUGUUUAGCACUGAAAGCCCUCAAAGCCUUGAAGCCAGGAUUUUACCCAGAUGGGGAAGAAGAAAAGAUUUGAACUAAUAAUUUAACUGUUAAAGGAAGGUGUUUCUGCCCAUGGAAGAGGGGUUGGGACUGGGUGAUCUUUAAGGUCCCUUCUAACCCAAACAAAUGAUUCUAUGAUUCUAUGAAAUAUUUAAGUGGCUGGACACUGUAGAGCUUGAAUUGUGACUGUAGCUCUCCACCUCCCUUAAAAUGUGCUUUCUACUCUGCUUCCAUGGAGAAGAUUUCUGCAAAGUGUCGAAGUAACUUCUAAGCACCGAUCUCAAACCAAGAAAACCUGCUAGGAUGCGGCAAAUAUCAUUUUUUCUUUUCAUAUACAAAGUUGCCAUGAAAAGAAGAGUUAGGAGCCCACACUUACAAGAACACAUACUAGCUUCCAGUCAUGGGUGCUUACUUUGAGAUAGAAAAUAUCGGUUUUCACCAGUUAGCACUUCCAUCCUCAUCCAUGUGAUUAGAAGGCACUCAGGACCUCAGUACACACAACCAUCUCAGAACAGUGGUAAUUCAAAGAAGGAGUUGCACCGCCAAAAUAAAUGCAUAACUGCCUUUUUAAGUCAAGUGUUACUAGAGAAAAAUAAACAAACAAGCAAAAGCAGCUCCCCCGGGUUCUCAUGACUUAGAGGAACCAGUAAACAUGUAAAAAGAAAUUGCAGCGAUGACUUCCAACUCUUUCUUAGUGUGUUUCAGUUUUUCUUCCUAUGGAACAAGAACCGUACUAUUUCCAAGAGUGUUAAGCUCCCAGGCACAAUAAAUUAAAACUAGCAAAAGCUGAGGUCCUCAAACACCUCCAUGGCUUUCCCCACCGUACUGUGGGAAUCUCCUCUCACAGCCCAUGUGAAUGCAGCUUGACUCCUUCACCGUUUCUGCCUGCCCCUCUGCAUGUCUCCAUGUGAGAAACCAGUGCUGGUGGAGGAAUCCAGCCUUUCCAUGGGAAGCACCUUUCCAGGCAGCUGCUUCUUAGCAGCAGAGCACAGAAGCAACAAUAGGUUCGGAGCUGGAAGAGGUGUGAAACAUAAGUCGUUGAUACAUGGUGGGAAUUAUCAGGGUUGUUGUGUUCAUCAGUGGAUCCAAAAUAAACAGGGUGCAUUUUCUGUUACUUGCUUUUUCUGUUUCCCUGACACGUGGAACUGUUUAAGAUCAGCUGCUGAGGGCUUGCGGUGGUAAAAGUGUAGAGGUAGGAACUUCUGUGAUGGUGUCAGGAAAUGAGAUGCAUGUUUUCAUCUUUGUUGAGAGGUUAACUACUUCUCUCAGAGACAGCCUAACACAUACCUGGUGCUGGGAUCAGGGCUGGGGCAGCUGAGCAUGCACCCUUGUUGAGAUUUACCCAGAUUAUUCCCCCAGUGCACCAGCUGCCUUGGAUAUUUAGCUUGCAAGAGCUGACUCGAGCUUUUGGAUCCUAGGCAGAAAAUUUAGGCAUGUAAGUCCAAAAUCAUGUUCCUGAAAACUCCUGUGUAGGAGGCAGCUGCCGCCUGGAAUCUCAACUUCAUAAGACUUUAAACUCCCCUGGUGCCAUCCCCCUUAGCUCUGCUGUCCAUACCAGCCAGCCCUGGGGACUGUGCUGUGCGUGCCCAGGAAGAACUCACUCUCUCAGCAGGCACUGAAAUCAAACGUCCAACUGUGUUCAGACUUGAAUUGUUCCCCUACUUUGUGCUCUGGAAGUUCCUGCUGGUAGCAUCUUCCUAGAAAGGGCUCAUCACAAGGGCAGUAAAAGAAAGCAAAAGUGCCCAUCUUAACCCAGCAGUGAGGUAGCCACAACAUGCUCCCAGGAUGUGGGAGACCCACCUUCAAUUUUCUUCCCUUAAGAGGUUUCAAAGCCACAUCCUAAACCAGAAGGCCAGAGACUGUUCUCUAGCAAAGAUGUUCCCACCCUUCCUGCUGCAGGUUUUCUCUGCUGAGGAGCCUGCAAUGUGUUGGCUUCACACCUCUCUGGGUGUGCUCCUGGGGCUAGAAGAGAGCUGCACCAGUUCACCAGACCUGGAAGAGCCCAGCAGGCAGUGAGAAGUGUACAGGUACAGGAUUGUUGUGUCAAAUAAGUCCUGUGGUGGCUUUAGCUGUGAAUAAACAACAUCCUUUUAUCAGUUCUACUGGAACUGCCAAGCCAAAUGUCACCCUAAGUGACAAUCAGUCAAUGUGCUUGAUAGCCACCGUCCCUCCUGGCCAGAGGAAACUCCAAGACUGGCUAGGGCUGUGUUUUUGCAGCAGGACUGGAACCAAAAAGAGCUCGCUUCCAGCCAUAGGACCUCCCUGCAACAGAUGCAACAGAAGCCAACCUGUGCCUGUCCUCAGCCAGCCGGUUCAGCAGUCAAGGCAUUACUUUUAGCUCCUACUCUGUCACAGCUCAAGUGCCUGACUGUUUGCUCAGGCUCACAUCUGCCUCUGCUGCCUUGCCUGGGGGCAGUAAUUCAUAACAGGGGCAGGUAGAGCAACAGGACAGUCCGUGCUAAAAUCCCCAUGACAGAUGGACCCACUGGGGCUGAUGAGCCAAGCUUAACUCUGGCUCGCUAAAACACACCGCGUGUCUGCCGUGCUAUAGGAGCGGGGAUUGACCUGUUCUUUGCACAGGAACGGAAGCCAAUUCCUCCAACUUUUUUUUUUUGUAGAUUUCUUGGCAUUUAUCUUGCAGACCCAGUUUUUUUGAGUCCAAGGGUUAUGUGGGGAUAUUAACUGUCAUUCACAAAAUUACAUACAAGUGGAUUGCUUGUCCUAAUAGUUAAGCAGAAAAUCUUGAAGACAAAGACAUUUUAAAUUGAAACCAGCUUGAAUGCUGGAAACAUUGAAGCUUUCCAGCCUUCAGACAGCUGCCUGCACCUUCUUUCCCUGAACUUCUGUCUCCUGGCCAGCCCAUGGGCUUCUGCACUCCUCCUCCCAGAUGUGCAGCUCUUCCAGAGGCACAGCUCACUCCCAUUGUUUGCCUUUUCCUCCCACGGUCAGCAAAACAGCAGCAUUUGGGCACGUGGUAGGUGAGUCCUCCAGCUAAGCCACUCUCCACAACCACGUCCUAACAUCUGCUGGCCCAGGCAAGAUCUGUGGGCUUGGAAAAGAAGGAAAUGCAGCUCCAGAAGAUGGAGUGAUGAUUGCUAGCAGGACAAGACACUAUAGGAGUUUUGCUCCGCAUCAGUAAUUCUGUCUUGGUCACUUGAAGAGCUCAAUUAUGUUACAUAAUUUCUCCCUGUAAUUUUUAAGAAGAGAUGCUUCUACAGGGGGCCAAAAGUUCCUUACUUAAGCAGAUACAUCAUAAAGUUAUUUAUAUAUAUGUCUGUGUGUGUGUGUGUGUGUGUGUGUAUGUUUAUGCAUAUAAAUCAUUAUAAGUGUAUCAUCUAGAACAUGUGAAGAACUGGAAUGCUUUUGAUUCCCUGUGACCUAAAACAUAAGCGAAUCCUUGCAAGAAGAGGUUAGCUACACAGUUUAUUUAUUUCUGUCCUGUGUAUACUGUACCCAGUCUAGGAGUGAGGAAACAGCCAAGGGAACUCGGCGUCACGACAGUUAAGCAUCUGUCCUUACCAUCACCACUGCUGAAGCGUGACGCAGCAGGCACAGCACCUUCCUCCUGCUACUGGUGACCAGCUGGCCAGGAGUGUGGUCAAAAAUCCACAGCAAUUGUUGAUAUUGUCUUAAUACUCAACAUUUUUGUCAUGUUGUCCUAGAGCUAUGGGUUCAUCCACCCCCUGCACGCCCAGCUAGGAGGGAAUCACUGGUAAAAUAAACCUCUUAUGUGAUUAAAUAA